CGCGAGGUGGCCAUGCGGCGGGCCCUAGGGUUCCUUCUUUUCUAUUCAUUGAACUUUGUUGGGCUAGGGUUUGAUUUGGGUUAGGAAUUUGGGCUUGCUGUUUUGUUUUGGGUUUGGGCCACAUAGGCCUGGUGUAAUUUGGGCUUUUUUUUGUAAUGGACUAUUUUUAUUUUUUUUGUUUGGUUUGUUUCAUUUGGUGCGGGCCCGGGCUAAUUGGGCCUAUUAUAAUACCUUUUCAACGUUUUUUUUCAUGUGCGGACAAUAAAAAUGUUCAUGUAGAAUAUCUAGUGUCUUGGCGACAUCAAAGUGUCUUAUUAGCCUCCACUAUAUGCCUCAC
rnacentral:lncRNA from 1 species